UACAGAGGUCCCGAGCGUUGUUCGGAUUCACUGGGCGUAAAGCGCACGCAGGCGGUUCGAUUAGUCAGAAGUGAAAGCCCCGGGCUCAACCUGGGAACUGCUUUUGAUACUGUCGAGCUUGAAUCACGGAGAGGGUAGUGGAAUUCCGAGUGUAGAGGUGAAAUUCGUAGAUAUUCGGAAGAACACCAGUGGCGAAGGCGACUACCUGGCCGUCGAUUGACGCUCAUGUGCGAAAGCGUGGGGAGCAAACAGGG
rnacentral:rRNA from 1 species